rnacentral:rRNA from 1 species
GGACGACGUCAAGUCCUCAUGGCCCUUACGCCCAGGGCUACAAACGUGCCACAAUGGCCGGUACAGAGGGACGCGACUCCGCGAGGACAAGCAAAUCCCAAAAAGCCGGUCUCAGUUCGGAUUGAAGGCUGCAACUCGCCUUCAUGAAGCUGGAAUCGCUAGUAAUCGCGCAUCAGCUACGGCGCGGUGAAUAUGUUCCUGAGCCUUGUACACACCGCCCGUCAAGUCAUGGAAGCUGGUAGUGCCCGAAGUCGCCACGAUUCAGUGGUGCCCACGGCAAGAUUGGUGACUGGGACUAAGUCGUAACAAGGUAGCCGUAGGAGAAC